UCCGAUAUGGUGUAGUGGCUAACAUCGCCGUCUCUCAAUUGCUCGGUGCACGGCAGCCGGGGGUUCGAUUCCCCCUAUCGGAG